AGAGUUUGAUCCUGGCUCAGGAUGAACGCUGGCGGCGUGCCUAAUACAUGCAAGUCGAGCGAAUGGAUUAAGAGCUUGCUCUUAUGAGGUUAGCGGCGGACGGGUGAGUAACACGUGGGUAACCUGCCCAUAAGACUGGGAUAACUCCGGGAAACCGGGGCUAAUACCGGAUAACAUUUUGAACUGCAUGGUUCGAAAUUGAAAGGCGGCUUCGGCUGUCACUUAUGGAUGGACCCGCGUCGCAUUAGCUAGUUGGUGAGGUAACGGCUCACCAAGGCAACGAUGCGUAGCCGACCUGAGAGGGUGAUCGGCCACACUGGGACUGAGACACGGCCCAGACUCCUACGGGAGGCAGCAGUAGGGAAUCUUCCGCAAUGGACGAAAGUCUGACGGAGCAACGCCGCGUGAGUGAUGAAGGCUUUCGGGUCGUAAAACUCUGUUGUUAGGGAAGAACAAGUGCUAGUUGAAUAAGCUGGCACCUUGACGGUACCUAACCAGAAAGCCACGGCUAACUACGUGCCAGCAGCCGCGGUAAUACGUAGGUGGCAAGCGUUAUCCGGAAUUAUUGGGCGUAAAGCGCGCGCAGGUGGUUUCUUAAGUCUGAUGUGAAAGCCCACGGCUCAACCGUGGAGGGUCAUUGGAAACUGGGAGACUUGAGUGCAGAAGAGGAAAGUGGAAUUCCAUGUGCAGCGGUGAAAUGCGUAGAGAUAUGGAGGAACACCAGUGGCGAAGGCGACUUUCUGGUCUGUAACUGACACUGAGGCGCGAAAGCGUGGGGAGCAAACAGGAUUAGAUACCCCCGUAGUCC
rnacentral:rRNA from 1 species